GCGCGAAAACUUUACAAUGCUGGCAACAGCGAUAAGGGAACCUCGAGUGCCAGGUUACAAAUCUGGCUGUCGAGAUGCCUAAAAAGCAUUUCAUAGCAAGGGCCGGGCAAGACCGGUGCCAGCCGCCGCGGUAACACCGGCGGCUCGAGUGGUAACCGUUAUUAUUUGGUCUAAAGGGUCUGUAGCCGGCCGGAUAAGUCUCUUGAGAAAUCUGGCAGCUUAACUGUCAGGCUUUCAGGAGAUACUGUCUGGCUCGAGGCCGGGAGAGGUGAGAGGUACUUCAGGGGUAGGGGUGAAAUCUUGUAAUCCUUGAAGGACCACCAGUGGCGAAGGCGUCUCACCAGAACGGACCUGACGGCAAGGGACGAAAGCUAGGGCACGAACC
rnacentral:rRNA from 1 species